AUGGACGCGCCCCUGCCUCCGCCCGCUUACGCCGACGGCGAGCAGACGGACUUCGUCCUCAUCGAGAAAUUCGGCUACGUCGCCGACCGCGAAGACGCCACCACCGCCACCUGCCUCCUGCAGGGUCCCGACCUCAAGGGCAGCAUCAAGGUCACAUUCUGCGCCGCCUGCCCGCCGCGCGUCUCCUACUUCUGCGUCCACGCCACCGAGUACGACCGCGCCGACUUGGACCUCGGCCCGGCCAUCCUCGCCACGGAGGGCCCUCUCGUCCUCCUCAGCGCCAUGCUGCCCAGUCCAUCCGACAUGUUCCAUCCCGUGACGAAACAGUAUUUCGUCUACCACGCCGGCACCGACGACACCGACGGGGAGGGGAAGAAGGCGAGCCGCCCGUCACUCAAGCACCUCCCUAACCCUGGCCGCUACCACGAAUUCGAGGAAGCCUCGGCUACCCUCUUGCGGACCUGCAGCAAGCAUCAUAGCUCCAGCGGCUCCACCCUGCACCCCCAUGGAGCCAACCAGAACGACCACGACUGCGAGGCAUGCGAGUUCGUUAUCGUCGCAAAGCGUUCUGCGCGCGUGAGAAGGACACAGCACGAGCUCUGCCUGUACCACUCGGAGAAGCAGGCCUGGAGCAUCAAGACAGCCAAAGUAUCGGGGGAUGCUCCGUACAAUCACCACUGGACGGACAAAGCAAUUGCCAUUGGAGGGGAUGACGGCGUGGUGGCAUGGGUCAAUCUUGGCCGGGACAUUCUCUUCUGCGACGUGCUCGCCGAGACCCCCACACUCUGCCCCGUCGAGCUGCCGCCGCUGAUCCCGGCAAGCAAGGGAGUUGGGACCGGUGACCCAAGAUGCAGCCGGGACGUCACCAUUGCCGAUGGUUUCAUCCGCUACACCCAGCUGCAGAUCCGGAUCGUUCCGGGCUCGUUCAUGGACGAUGGAGCCGUCACAUUCGAUGGCUGGAAAGCUGCCAAAUGCAGCAUGGCGAUCGACGCCCGCUCGUUGCCUUUGGCCGAGGCGUCUUGGCAGCAGCACACGGGCCUCCUCGAGCUCGAUUCCUCGCAGAUUUCCAUGUUGCUGCCGAGUCUUGUGGUCGAUGAGGGUAGCACCAUAGCGUUCGAGAGACUGCACGUUGGCCUGCCCACCCUGAGCCUGCUAGAUGACGACAUUGUUUAUUUCCUCGCCAAGAUCGACUACCGGGACGUGGAACACACAGCAUAUGUGCUUGCUCUUGACUUGAGAAACAAGACGAUGAAGAGCGUUGCUGAGUUUGGAGCCAAAAACACAAUUGGUUUGGGCCAGGCGUUUAUUGCAAGUACCAUCUCCAAAUAUAUCUCAAAGUUGCUCCAGGGUAAUUGA
rnacentral:rRNA from 1 species